UCUCGGCUUUUUUGAAUUUUG
rnacentral:piRNA from 1 species